AUGGGGUUUGACAGGAAGGAGGCGGCGGCGGCGGCGGAGGAGGAGGAGGUGAAGUGGCUGAAGCAUUACUCCUCGACGGAAAGCAUACUGAUCGUCGGCGACGGAGAUCUCUCCUUCUCGCGGGCCCUCGCCAUCGCAUUCUGCUCCGCGGAGAACCUCGUCGCCACCUCCAUCGACUCCUAUGAGGAUCUGACGAGGAAGUAUAGCAAAGCAGAGUCCAAUAUAUUUGUACUAAAAAUGAUGGGAGCCACAAUUUUGCAUGGUAUUGAUGCCAAUACUAUGAAGCUUCACAAUGACCUGAAGAUGAGACGCUUCGAUCGGAUUGUCUUCAAUUUUCCUCAUGCUGGGUUCAAAGGAAAAGAAGACCGCAUGGAUGUGAUCAACGCGCACAAAAAGUUGGUGAGGGGGUUCCUUCACAAUGCAAGCCACCUGAUUCGCCCAAAUGGUGAAAUCCAUGUUAGCCACAAGACAGGGAAUCCAUAUGAUAAAUGGGAUAUUGAGGAAUUGGCAUUGGGAUCUUCUCUUAUUAAGGUUGAUCAAGUUAGUUUCCAAAUAGAGGAUUACCCUGGGUACAACCAAAAGAGGGGAGAUGGUGCGAAUUGCGAUGAACCUUUCGCUUUAGGUGCUUGCUGCACAUUCAAAUUUUGUAUCAGAGGCUCGAAGAAACUGAAGAGUGCGCACAGAAACAUGAUUUCGUCACAUGGAAGCAGCACAUUGUCUGAACCAAUCAGCACAGUUCAGAUAGCAAAAAAAGCUCAUGAGCCUUACAGCCUCGGAUUAGCUAAAAGGCAUGAACCGUGUUUUCCGGUUAGCAUCGAUGGCAUGGUGGCUUCUCCUUCCUUUGAUCGGCAUGGGACUAGUCAGCCAUUGUGCAGCAUUGCAGGGUCAUCACUGAAUGCUCUGCCGAUCCUUGGUGGCAAUCUCCCUGCGCCACCUCAGCAGCAGCCUUGGUACCAACACGGGCCCAUUCUUCAGCUGCUAUGGAGCGGCGGCUACUCACACUUCGCCUGGGAAUACCUUCGGAGUCUGCUCAGGGAGUAUGAAGCGCAUAGGCAAAUGACGCCCGGAGGAAGAGCAACCGAUGUGAAUUACUCUGUCUUGCUGGAACAUUGCUUCAGGUAA
rnacentral:rRNA from 1 species